rnacentral:miRNA from 2 species
AUAUUAUGCACAUUUUCAUGCAAA